rnacentral:lncRNA from 1 species
CACUGCAGUCAUUCAUUUAUCCUGCACACAUUUAUUAAACACCUUCUGUAUGCCAGAUACUGUACUGACCUUUGAAAACAGAGCAAUUAGUAAGACAGAACCUUCUAGACCUCACAUGUGAAUGGGAGAAACAAACCUGGAAACUUUGUAGUCAUUAUCAUAGUUAAAAUUCUAUGAAGACAUAGUUGGGGAGUGGUGACCUCUGCUUAGAGGUAUCGGUGAAGAUUGGGUAGAGGAGAUGCCAUUUAACCAGGGGCUGGAAGCAUUGAGUCAUUUCAGAUAGAAGUGAGGCUUUUAGGAAGUAUUAAAUCAUAAUUAAAUAUCUGUACAAGCAUGGAAUCCCAGGGCUACUUUGUGGAGUUCUCUUGCCACAGCAGGUUAAGGAUCUGGCAGCAAUGGUUAACAGCAAUGGUUUGGGUCGCUGCUGUGUUGCAGGUUUGAUCCCUGGCCUGGGAACUUCCACAUGCUGCUGACACGGCCAAAAAAAAGUACUUUGAUUUUCUGGAAAAUAGAAACUUUAUAGUAGGAUGCAUCAGUCUGGAGAAGCCAGUUUGUGAAAAAUGGCUUCAAACUUAAGGGUGAAUGGAAUAGUAGGUCUUUGAGUGAGGUCUUAGCAAAGAGUGGACAAUCACUGUGUAUGGCAAUUUUUUGCUGUCAAGCCUCUUAGAAUCUUCUAACUACAGACCAGAAGGCACACCUGCUCACUCACUUCCAUGGUCACUCUUUUUGUAUCAUCUAUGUUCCCAAGGAAUUACGAAAGGAUACAGUAACACAGAUGAAAUUUACUGAAAUAAGUGCAGGGAGAUAAUGAAAAAAAAAGGCAGUUUCUUGUCUUUAAAUAUAAGCUGUCUUUACAUAAACAGGAUGAAGCACAGUGUCCUGCUGUUGACCAGUCCCUACUUGGUAGCUCAAUUUAUGACCGAGAUGCUUGUUUAUUAGUGUUAUAUAUUCCAAGGAAAACUGGAUGGGCAAGGUCACAGAGAUGUGACUAAUAUAAUGUGUGUUAGAUAUACUACUUGUAAUAAAUUGUGAGAGGAGAGAGAUGAUUCGAUUCGAAGAAGGAAUAAUUAAACAAAAGGAAUAAUUAAACAAAUAAUUAAACAAAAGGAACCAGAAUUUAAAGAUUUGGAAAAUUUGUUUGCCUACCAACAUUGCAGAAUAUGAGAAAGCCUUCUUUGGUGAGAAUACUAAGGACAGUCACUUUAUAAAGAGAUUAUCUAUGGAGUUCAUUGGCCACUCAGCAGAAGUUAAGACUAGAGAUAGAAUUGUAUCCAAAUAGACACUGACUACCCAUUGGGACUAAAGGAGACAGAGACGUUAUAAAAAAAAAGGUUUGUGGACUUCUUGCAUUCUACAGGAAAAGAACAAUAGAAUUAUCCACUAUCCAGCUAUGAAUGUAGCCUUCCUUUAAGAAAAGGAAAGAAUGACUCUGAAGGUAAUUCAGAGAUCAGCCGUGACCCCAGGAGCAAGGCUGCCACCCUUCUUCAGUAGAGAAGGGCCUCCACCAAGAGCCCAAGGGCAGAAGGGGAAGGCCCAAGAGAACUGGAAGGUGGAACUCUGCCCAAAUGGACCUAGAAGUCAGAACAUUAAGCUAAAGAGGAUUAUUCUCCAUCCUUAAGAACUACCUUGCAUGUAUUUUGCAUGCCAAAAGAACAGGAAUUUGGGGAGCCAGAAAGCAGAAUAUUAUGGACUGACUUCAAAAUCCUUGUGUUGCAGCCCUGUCAGUAUGUCUGUAUUUACAAAUAGACAUUUUUUGGGAGGUAAUUAAGGUUAAUUGAGGUCAUAAGGACAGGACCUUCAUCCAAUAGCACUGGUGUUCUUAAAAGAAGAGCAAGAGAUGUCAGGAGUGUGUACCAACUAAGGAAAGGCCGAAUCAGGACAUCGUGAGAAGGUGCUGGUCUGCAAGUUAGGGAUAAGAUCCUCAUCAGAAAUGGAAUCUGCCAGAACCCUGACCUUGGACUUCUAUCCCCAUAACUAUGCAAAAAAUACAUUUUUGUUGUUUCAACUACCUAAAGGUGGUAUUUUGUUAUGAUAGCCCUAGUUAACUAAUAAUAUGUGUUUAUAUGUGAUGGACAAGUUAUAUCAUGAUGAUGAUAGUUUAUCAUAUGCAAUAAUAUAUAAAUCCCCAUUUAUACAUUAUCUCAUUGAUAUAUUCUUAAAAAAAAAUCCUUGGUGAUAGUCAUUAUUACCACUGUUUUACAGGUUAAGAAAUUCAAGUCAAACAGGAAAAAUUUAAGCAGCAGAGAGCACGUUGUUAUUCCACUGUAGUUUGGUUCCAUGUGACCAUCUUCAAAGAGCUUAACUUCUCUGAGAUUCAGUUUCAUUGUCCCUUAAGUGAUGAUGGCAUGUGUGCUGCCCUCUUCAGAGGGUUAUUUGCAUGGCUUAAAUAAAAUGACUUAGAGUAAAUCCAUUAUUUGUACUCUGGUCAUGAAUGUCUUCAUCAGCAUCAUAUCAUAUUUUGGUGACUUUCUAUUUCCACUCAACUCACUGACUUUUCACAAGACUUUUCUCAAUAUAUCCCAACACCAUUGUCAGUUUCUUCCUUUAGAAGUUUCGGAUGCAGGUUUUUGUUCUGACUGCUGAUGUGUCAUUAGAAAAAGGAUUUGAAUAUAAGACUGUUUUUAAUGACCUCCUUCUAGUCAGCGGUGGAAGAAGAAUGGUUUCCUAAUGAUUUCAUUGAAUUUACACCUGAAGGGUAUUAAUAGAAAUAUUUUGAAAACGUAUUUGUAUUGAAUAGUACCAUGAAAGCAACAUAUAGGUCAUAAUAUUAAUCUUAUUCGUGUUGAGUGCCAGGCCUUUUUGCCCCUUGCUAUCUGUUGUUUUCCUAAAGUCUAACAAGGUUUAUCUGCCCUUCUUUUUUCCAUGUAACAGUAGCUUUUUUUUUUUUUAACACUUCAGGUUGAACUUUAUUUCAGCAGGUUUUCUAAAUUGAGUCAAAGAUUUCAACUUCUGGCAAAUAUCUGAAUUGUAAUGUAUCAAAUAGCUUAACAAUAGGAAAUAGCUUUCAAAGAUGUUAAAACAAUAAAGCAGAUUCAAAAAAAAAUCCCACAUACACACACUUUUUGUCUCCAAUACAUAUAGUCCUUAGCCAACUUGAUUUGGUACAGCUGCUGAUGCUUUUUCACAAACAAAUGAGAAUAGACUUCUUGUUACUGAACUCAGGUCCUGCUACUUGCCACUCAAAAAAUCAAUACCUGAGAGGCAGUUGUUGAUAGAGAGGAAAGAUGCUUGAAUCAAAAAAGCUGGCAGGGAGUUCCCAUCGUGGCUCAGAGGUAAUGAACCCAACUAGUGUCCAUGAGAACAUGGAUCUCUGGCUUUGCUCCAUGGGUUAAGGAUCUGGUGUUGCCAUGGACUGUGGUGUAAGUUGCACAGGAGGCUUGGAUCCCAGGUUGCCGUGACUGUGGCAUAGACCAACAGCUGCAGCUCCAAUUUGACCCCCAGCCUGGGAACUUCCAUAUGCCGAGGGUGCA